rnacentral:lncRNA from 1 species
GUCCUUCAGCUUCUCCGCUCGCUCUGUGCAGUUGUGGAAGUCGAGGAGCUUGUCAAAGCGUUUCUGCACCAGCUUGUGGGGCCCUACAAACAUGCUCAGCAGCUGGUUCAGGGGUGAGAUCACCAGCCGCUCUGUCCGCUCUUUAAAGUUGGAGAACAGCUGGUCGCUGAUGAGUCGGUUCACUUUCUGGAACUGCUCCAGGUCCCCGCUGCCUUUCUCCAUGCACAGGUCCCACAUGCUGACUGCUGCUAUUGCCUUCAUGCAGGCCGACUCCCGAACGUGCUGCAGGUAGAGUGAAAGGUCCCUGAUGAAGGACUUGAUCAGCCGCUCCUGCAUCCGGAAAUUUUUC